rnacentral:rRNA from 1 species
UACGUAGGGUGCAAGCGUUGUCCGGAAUCAUUGGGCGUAAAGAGCGCGUAGGCGGCCCGAUAAGUCCGCUGUGAAAGUCAAGGGCUCAACCCUUGAAUGCCGGUGGAUACUGUCGGGCUAGAGUCCGGAAGAGGCGAGUGGAAUUCCUGGUGUAGCGGUGAAAUGCGCAGAUAUCAGGAGGAACACCAAUGGCGAAGGCAGCUCGCUGGGACGGUACUGACGCUGAGGCGCGAAAGCCAGGGGAGCAAACGGG